UGAGUGUUACAUCUAGUGCUAGAAGGCCUAGGAUAUCUUUGAUUGUGUAGCAAGGGUGGAAUGGGAUUUUAUCGGAGUCAGAUAUUAUUCCUGAGGGAUUGUUGGAUCCUGUUUCAUAUAAGAAUAAAAGGUGGACUGCUGCUAGGGCUGAGAUAAUAAAUGGGAGAAUGAAGUGGAAAGCAAAGAAUCCUAUUAAGGUGGCUUUGUCUACUGAGAAGCCCCCUCACAUUCAUUGUACGAAGUUAGUACCAAUAUAGGGGGUUGCUUGUAGGAGACUGGUGAUGACGGUAGCUCCUCAGAAGGAUUGGGCCUCAUGGUAAAACGUAGCCUAUGAAAUCUGUAGCCAUGACUGUAAAUAAUAAUACAAUUCCAAUGUUUCAUGUCUCUGACAAGGUGUAGGAACCGUCGUGUAUGCCUCGACCUACAUGUAUAAAUAAGCAGAU